GAGCAAAGUGACAUUUGGCGCGGUUCGC
rnacentral:sRNA from 1 species